AGAGCAGCUAGAUCAGUAGAUGAUUCCCAAGCUGACAGCGCGGGUUCGAUUCCCGUCACCCGCUCCA
rnacentral:tRNA from 1 species